rfam:Beta vulgaris subsp. vulgaris Bvchr8.sca018.con0287.1, whole genome shotgun sequence.
CCGACCUUAGCUCAGUUGGUAGAGCGGAGGACUGUAGUUGGUUUGUGACCCACAUGUUAUCCUUAGGUCCCAGGUUCGAAUCCGGCAGGUCGGA